GCGUCCGAGGUGUUUGCGGCUGCAUUCCUGGCUUCCAACCAGGAGGAGCGGGUUCGACCCCCGCCGGACGCU
rnacentral:tRNA from 1 species